rnacentral:rRNA from 1 species
UAAUACGGGAGGCAGCAGUAGGGAAUCUUCCGCAAUGGACGAAAGUCUGACGGAGCAACGCCGCGUGAGCGAUGAAGGCCUUCGGGUCGUAAAGCUCUGUUGUCAGGGAAGAACAAGUACCGGAGUAACUGCCGGUACCUUGACGGUACCUGACCAGAAAGCCACGGCUAACUACGUGCCAGCAGCCGCGGUAAUACGUAGGUGGCAAGCGUUGUCCGGAAUUAUUGGGCGUAAAGCGCGCGCAGGCGGUUCCUUAAGUCUGAUGUGAAAGCCCCCGGCUCAACCGGGGAGGGUCAUUGGAAACUGGGGAACUUGAGUGCAGAAGAGGAGAGCGGAAUUCCACGUGUAGCGGUGAAAUGCGUAGAGAUGUGGAGGAACACCAGUGGCGAAGGCGGCUCUCUGGUCUGUAACUGACGCUGAGGCGCGAAAGCGUGGGGAGCGAACAGGAUUAGAUACCCUGGUAGUCCACGCCGUAAACGAUGAGUGCUAAGUGUUAGAGGGUUUCCGCCCUUUAGUGCUGCAGCAAACGCAUUA